GCAGGAGCCGCCUGUCCUACCUGUCUCCUGCCCCACCUGGACCUGUUUCCCCACUUAAAAAAGUCAAUCUGCCUCCUAGUUACCUUCCUCCUGUCUAGGAAUCCACAGAUCAGGGCUGGGGGAUCCAGGAGGCCGAACACCACCGCCUAGAGCUAGCAGGGGCUAUGUUCAGUGGUUGGACCGGCUCUGGGUUUAAAUCUCCCUCCCACCCUUUCGCUGUGUGGUGUCAGGCAUGUUGCUGAACCUUUCUGAGCCUGCCUCCUUGAUGACAAUAGUACCUGCCUCCCAUCAUAGGGUUGCAUGGGGAUUAAGUCACUUAUGUGUGGAAGGUGCAUAAAUAACAGCUAUUCUAACUAGUGUUAUUACUGCUCAGGAGCUAGUUCCGUGUCCGAAGCUCUUCCAGGCUCAUCUGGGGGAGGCGGGAGAGGGGUUCUGUUCUCAGCACCCCAGGGGCUGCCUACCUUUCUCUGUGUCCCCCGGAUAGGAUACUGUGUUUUCGUCUCUGCCUCCCCCGUCAGUCUGUGAGCCCCCACGGGGUACCUAACACAGGUAGACACUCUGUAGAGUGUGUGGAAUGAGAGAGUGAAUGAAUGAAGACUUGAUACUCCAGAUGCUGGAGGAUUCAGCCCAGCCCGGGGGACCUUGCAAGGCCAUGCGGUGGUGUCUUUCCGGGUCUGUGCUGCUCCUUGCUGGGGAAAGUGGGGAGUGGUGGCCUCUGGGGAGGGACAGGAGGCGGAGGGGCGCACCCCGCUCUGUUCUUGGUACCCGCGCCUGCCCAGAGGUCCUUCGUGGGCAACAUCAGCUGCCGCCUGGAGAGGCUCUGUGGUGGUGGACCUGCUCUAAACGCUGCCUCACUUAAUCCUCGGGACAAUCUAGAAGCUCGGAAGGGAGUCACCAGAAUUCACACCAAGCAGUUGCUUCCAGAGCCUGCGUGUCCCAGCCACAGCCUCUUGGGCCUCUGUUUUUUGAAUGACUGCUUGAGCGAGUGAUCGCUGCCUUGAGUUCUUGGGGAACUUUGUAUAAA
rnacentral:lncRNA from 10 species